AUUGAACGCUGGCGGCAGGCCUAACACAUGCAAGUCGAGCGGGGUUUUCGGACCUAGCGGCGGACGGGUGAGUAAUGCGUAGGAAGCUACCCGAUAGAGGGGGAUACCAGUUGGAAACGACUGUUAAUACCGCAUAAUGUCUACGGACCAAAGUGUGGGACCUUCGGGCCACGUGCUAUCGGAUGCGCCUACGUGGGAUUAGCUAGUUGGUGAGGUAAUGGCUCACUAAGGCGACGAUCCCUAGCUGGUUUGAGAGGAUGAUCAGCCACACUGGAACUGAGACACGGGCCAGACUCCUACGGGAGGCAGCAGUGGGGAAUAUUGGACAAUGGGCGCAAGCCUGAUCCAGCCAUGCCGCGUGUGUGAAGAAGGCCUUCGGGUUGUAAAGCACUUUCAGUAGGGAGGAAGCGUUGUGUGUUAAUAGUACACAGCGUUGACGUUACCUACAGAAGAAGCACCGGCUAACUCUGUGCCAGCCGCCGCAGUAACAC
rnacentral:rRNA from 1 species